GGCACGUAACCUUUUUCUAUUUCGUCCUUUAUCCUACCCAAACCUUAGCCCCGUUACAACCCAUUUUAAAGACCUCUUGAUUAUUGCAUCAUUUUCAUAUUAAGUAGUGGAGAUUAGAUUUAGUUGCAAGCCUAUGGUGAUGU